CUACGGGGUGCAGCAGUGGGGAAUAUUGCACAAUGGAGGAAACUCUGAUGCAGCAACGCCGCGUGGAGGAUGACACUUUUCGGAGCGUAAACUCCUUUUAUAUAGGAAGAAGAUGACGGUACUAUAUGAAUAAGCGCCGGCUAACUCCGUGCCAGCAGCCGCGGUAAUACGGAGGGCGCAAGCGUUACUCGGAAUCACAGGGCGUAAAGAGCGUGUAGGUGGAUUAAAAAGUCAGAAGUGAAAUCCUAUAGCUUAACUAUAGAACUGCUUCUGAAACUCUUAAUCUAGAAUAUGGGAGAGGUAGAUGGAAUUUCUGGUGUAGGGGUAAAACCCGUAGAGAUCAGAAGGAAUACCGAUUGCGAAGGCGAUCUACUAGAACAUUAUUGACGCUGAGACGCGAAAGCGUGGGGAGCAAACAGGAUUAGAUACCCUGGUAGUC
rnacentral:rRNA from 1 species